rnacentral:rRNA from 1 species
GUACACGCUGUGACUAGCAUAUCAAUAAGCGGAGGAAAAGAAACUAACAAGGAUUCCCCUAGUAACGGCGAGUGAAGCGGGAAGAGCUCAAAUUUGAAAUCUUAAAGGGUUUCCCUUUACGAAUUGUAGUUUAAAGAAGUGUUUUCUGUUGAGGUUUUGGUAAAAGUUCUUUGGAAUAGGACAUCAUAGAGGGUGAGAAUCCCGUAUUUGACCUUUACUUUCAACUUUGUGAUACACUUUCAAAGAGUCGGAUUGUUUGGGAAUGCAGUCCAAAAUGGGUGGUAAAUUUCAUCUAAAGCUAAAUAUUGGCGAGAGACCGAUAGCGAACAAGUACCGUGAGGGAAAGAUGAAAAGAACUUUGAAAAGAGAGUUAGACAGUACGUGAAAUUGUCAAAAGGGAAGCGUUUGACACCAGUGUUGUUUUUCUGAAAAUCAAUUAAAGAACUGUUUAUGCUAAGCUGUUUAGACUUUAUCAGCUAUCUGUUUAGUUUUGAGCUUUUCUUUAAUGCACUUUUCAGUUAACAAGUCAACAUCAAUUUCUUUUGCUGUAAAAAAGCUUGAGGAAGGUGGCUUGAGAUUCGUCUUAAGUGUUUAUAGCCUCUUGCCUAUGCAGUCGGAGAGAUUGAGGUCUGCAGCGUAGAUCCUUCGGGGCUAAAUGCAUUUGUGCUAAGUUAUAACAUUUUAUAGACAACUUGUUGACUAUGAUUUGUCUUGUAGCUUACUCGCUUAUGUUAUUUUACCUACGCUUAGGAUGUUGACGAGACUGUCGAUCUC